rnacentral:rRNA from 1 species
UACGUAGGUGGCAAGCGUUGUCCGGAUUUACUGGGCGUAAAGAGCGCGCAGGCGGUCGUUCAAGUCGCGUGUGAAAGCCCCCCGGCUCAACUGGGGAGGGUCACGCGAUACUGAUCGACUCGAAGGCAGGAGAGGGUAGUGGAAUUCCCGGUGUAGUGGUGAAAUGCGUAGAUAUCGGGAGGACACCAGUGGCGAAGGCGACUCUUUGGCCUGUAACUGACGCUGAGGUGCGAAAGCGUGGGGGAGCAAACAGGG